rnacentral:rRNA from 1 species
AGAGUUUGAUCAUGGCUCAGGACGAACGCUGGCGGCGUGCUUAACACAUGCAAGUCGAACGAUGAUCCGGUGCUUGCACCGGGGAUUAGUGGCGAACGGGUGAGUAACACGUGAGUAACCUGCCCUGGACUCUGGGAUAACCCCGAGAAAUCGGAGCUAAUACCGGAUAGGACCUUGAACCGCAUGGUUUGGGGUGGAAAGUUUUUCGGUCUGGGAUGGACUCGCGGCCUAUCAGCUUGUUGGUGAGGUAAUGGCUCACCAAGGCGUCGACGGGUAGCCGGCCUGAGAGGGUGACCGGCCACACUGGGACUGAGACACGGCCCAGACUCCUACGGGAGGCAGCAGUGGGGAAUAUUGCACAAUGGGCGCAAGCCUGAUGCAGCAACGCCGCGUGCGGGAUGACGGCCUUCGGGUUGUAAACCGCUUUUAGUAAGGAAGAAGGGAAGCUUGCUUCUUGACGGUACUUGCAGAAAAAGGACCGGCUAACUACGUGCCAGCAGCCGCGGUAAUACGUAGGGUCCGAGCGUUGUCCGGAAUUAUUGGGCGUAAAGAGCUCGUAGGCGGUUUGUCGCGUCUGCUGUGAAAUCCCGAGGCUCAACCUCGGGUCUGCAGUGGGUACGGGCAGACUGGAGUGCGGUAGGGGAGAAUGGAAUUCCUGGUGUAGCGGUGGAAUGCGCAGAUAUCAGGAGGAACACCGAUGGCGAAGGCAGUUCUCUGGGCCGUAACUGACGCUGAGGAGCGAAAGCGUGGGGAGCGAACAGGAUUAGAUACCCUGGUAGUCCACGCCGUAAACGUUGGGCGCUAGAUGUGGGGACCU